GAUGAACGCUGGCGGCGUGCUUAACACAUGCAAGUCGAACGGAAAGGUCCUGCUCUUGUGGCGUGCUCGAUUGGCGAGCGGGUGAGUAACACGCGAGUAACCUGCCCUUGACUUUGGGAUAACUUCUGGAAAAUCGGGCUCAUACCGGAUAGGAGCUCCUGCUGCAUGGUGGGGGAUGGAAAGUUUCGGCGGUUGGGGCUGGACUCGAGGCUUAUCAGCUUGUUGGGGGAGUAGUGGCUUACCAAGGCUUUGACGGGUAGCCGGCCUGAGAGGGUGAACGGCCACAAUGCGACUGCGAGACGGAGCAGACUCCAACGGGAGGCAGCAGUGGGGAAUAUUGCACAAUGGGCGGAAGCCUGAGGCGACAACGCCGCGAGCGUGAUGACGGCCUUCGGGUUGUAAACCGAUUUCGACUGUGACGAAGCGUGAGUGACGGUAAUGGGUAAAGAAGCACCGGCUAACUACGUG
rnacentral:rRNA from 1 species